rnacentral:tRNA from 1 species
CGUUCGUUUGGGUGGACGGCACGCCUUCCGAUUUGUUCGGUACGGUGCGUUUAGAUCGCAAUCAAUUCUCGAUCACAAAUCGGGAACGAGCGA